rnacentral:ncRNA from 2 species
CUACAGUUCACCAGCCGUGGUGUUCGGGAAACCGGUGUAGAACCGGUGCGGCCCUCGCCACUGUGAUCGGGAGUUGUGAAUCGAUCCGGACGACGUGUGUCGUCCGGAGCCACUGGGGCACCUGCCCUGGGAAGGUGGAUUCACCGCGCACUAUCCCGUCAGCCAGGAGACCGGCCACGGCUACGCAGUACCC